rnacentral:rRNA from 1 species
CCUACGGGUGGCAGCAGUGAGGAAUGUUGGUCAAUGGACGAGAGUCUGAACCAGCCAAGUAGCGUGAAGGAUGACUGCCCUAUGGGUUGUAAACUUCUUUUAUAUGGGAAUAAAAUGUUCCACGUGUGGGAUUUUGUAUGUACCAUAUGAAUAAGGAUCGGCUAACUCCGUGCCAGCAGCCGCGGUAAUACGGAGGAUCCGAGCGUUAUCCGGAUUUAUUGGGUUUAAAGGGAGCGUAGGUGGAUUGUUAAGUCAGUUGUGAAAGUUUGCGGCUCAACCGUAAAAUUGCAGUUGAAACUGGCAGUCUUGAGUACAGUAGAGGUGGGCGGAAUUCGUGGUGUAGCGGUGAAAUGCUUAGAUAUCACGAAGAACUCCGAUUGCGAAGGCAGUUCACUGGACUGCAACUGACACUGAGGCUCGAAAGUGUGGGUAUCAAACAGGAUUAGAUACCCUUGUAGUC